CAGAAAAUAGUUUAAUAAAAAUAUUAAUUUUGGAGAUUAAAGAUAAGUAUUGAGUAACUUUUUUCUGA
rnacentral:tRNA from 1 species